UGCCAGCCGCCGCGGUAAGACGGAGGUGGCAAACGCUGUUCGGAAUCACUGGGCUUAAAGGGCGUGUAGGCGGCCGAUCAAGUCGGGUGUGAAAUCCCUCGGCUCAACCGAGGAACUGCAUUCGAUACUGGUCAGCUAGAGUGCGAGAGGGGUGAGUGGAACUCCAGGUGUAGCGGUGAAAUGCGUAGAGAUCUGGAGGAAUACCUGUGGCGAAGGCGGCUAGCUGGUUCAUGACUGACGCUGAGAUUCGAAAGCGUGGGGAGCAAACAGGAUUAGAUA
rnacentral:rRNA from 1 species